AGUGAACGCUGGCGGUAGGCCUAACACAUGCAAGUCGAACGACAGCACAGUAAGAGCUUGCUCUUACGGGUGGCGAGUGGCGGACGGGUGAGGAAUACAUCGGAAUCUACUUUUUCGUGGGGGAUAACGUAGGGAAACUUACGCUAAUACCGCAUACGACCUACGGGUGAAAGCAGGGGAUCUUCGGACCUUGCGCGAUUGAAUGAGCCGAUGUCGGAUUAGCUAGUUGGCGGGGUAAAGGCCCACCAAGGCGACGAUCCGUAGCUGGUCUGAGAGGAUGAUCAGCCACACUGGAACUGAGACACGGUCCAGACUCCUACGGGAGGCAGCAGUGGGGAAUAUUGGACAAUGGGCGCAAGCCUGAUCCAGCCAUACCGCGUGGGUGAAGAAGGCCUUCGGGUUGUAAAGCCCUUUUGUUGGGAAGGAAAAGCAGCAGGUUAAUACCCCGCUGUUCUGACGGUACCCAAAGAAUAAGCACCGGCUAACUUCGUG
rnacentral:rRNA from 1 species